rnacentral:lncRNA from 1 species
UGGGCCCUAGCUGGGGGACAGAAGUGGUUGUAACCGAAACUUCUUGCCUAGGGCUGCAAAACCUGAGACCGGACAAGGGGAACAGAUGAAGAGAUGAAGGCCUUCAACUAAUUGGAUGAGGCCCACCUAAAACAUUGAAUGUAAUCUACUUUACUCCAAGACACGGCUUUUGGUGUUAACCUGUCUUUUAAGAAAACGCUCUCGGGGGUUGGGGAUUUAGCUCAGUGGUAGAGCGCUUGCCUAGGAAGCGCAAGGCCCUGGGUUCGGUCCCCAGCUCCGGGGGGGGGGGGGGGG